CGGGGAUUAGCGCAGCCUGGUAGCGCGCAUCGUUCGGGACGAUGAGGUCGUGAGUUCGAAUCUCGCAUCCCCGA
rnacentral:tRNA from 2 species